UACCAGCACCCCGAGUGGUCGGGACGUUUAUUGGGCCUAAAGCAUCCGUAGCCGGUUCUACAAGUCUUCCGUUAAAUCCACCUGCUUAACAGAUGGGCUGCGGAAGAUACUAUAGAGCUAGGAGGCGGGAGAGGCAAGCGGUACUCGAUGGGUAGGGGUAAAAUCCGUUGAUCCAUUGAAGACCACCAGUGGCGAAGGCGGCUUGCCAGAACGCGCUCGACGGCGAGGGAUGAAAGCUGGGGGAGCAAACCGG
rnacentral:rRNA from 1 species